rnacentral:rRNA from 1 species
UACGUAGGGGGCUAGCGUUGCUCGGAAUCACUGGGCGUAAAGGGUGCGUAGGCGGGUCUUUAAGUCAGGGGUGAAAUCCUGGAGCUCAACUCCAGAACUGCCUUUGAUACUGAAGAUCUUGAGUUCGGGAGAGGUGAGUGGAACUGCGAGUGUAGAGGUGAAAUUCGUAGAUAUUCGCAAGAACACCAGUGGCGAAGGCGGCUCACUGGCCCGAUACUGACGCUGAGGCACGAAAGCGUGGGGAGCAAACAGGG